rnacentral:rRNA from 1 species
UUCCAGACUCCUACGGGAGGCAGCAGUAAGGGAUAUUGGUCAAUGGGGGAAACCCUGAACCAGCAACGCCGCGUGAGGGAAGACGGUUUUCGGAUUGUAAACCUCUGUCCUCUGUGAAGAUGAUGACGGUAGCAGAGGAGGAAGCUCCGGCUAACUACGUGCCAGCAGCCGCGGUAAUACGGAGGGUGCGAGCGUUAAUCGGAAUUACUGGGCGUAAAGCGCUCGUAGGCGGUAUGUCAAGUCAAGGGUGAAAUCCCCGCGCUCAACGUGGGAACUGCCUUUGAAACUGGCAAACUGGAGUGUGUGAGAGGAUAGUGGAAUUCCAGGUGUAGGAGUGAAAUCCGUAGAUAUCUGGAGGAACAUCAGUGACGAAGGCGACUAUCUGGCACAUAACUGACGCUGAGGAGCGAAAGCGUGGGUAGUAAACAGGAUUAGAUACCCCUGUAUG